rnacentral:tRNA from 1 species
AUUUAAAUAUUUUAAAAAAAAUUUUAUAUUGAAAUUAUAAAGAUAUGAUUAUUCAUUUUAAAUA